rnacentral:rRNA from 1 species
UACGUAGGCAGCAAGCGUUGUUCGGAGUUACUGGGCGUAAAGAGCAUGUAGGCGGUUGGGCAAGUUUGGUGUGAAAUCUCCCGGCUUAACUGGGAGGGUGCGCUAAAGACUGCCUGGCUCGAGUGUGGGAGAGGAAAGCGGAAUUCCUGGUGUAGCGGUGAAAUGCGUAGAUAUCAGGAGGAACACCUGCGGUGUAGACGGCUUUCUGGACCAUAACUGACGCUGAGAUACGAAAGCGUGGGUAGCAAACAGG